rnacentral:sRNA from 1 species
UUCAACUCUAAGUUUCGAUCAAGGCGUC